rnacentral:rRNA from 1 species
UACGGGGGGGCAAGCGUUGUUCGGAAUUACUGGGCGUAAAGGGCUCGUAGGCGGCCAACUAAGUCAGACGUGAAAUCCCUCGGCUUAACCGGGGAACUGCGUCUGAUACUGGAUGGCUAGAGGUUGGGAGAGGGAUGCGGAAUUCCAGGUGUAGCGGUGAAAUGCGUAGAUAUCUGGAGGAACACCGGUGGCGAAGGCGGCGUCCUGGACCAACACUGACACUGAGGAGCGAAAGCCAGGGGAGCAAACGGG